AGAGUUUGAUCCUGGCUCAGAACGAACGCUGGCGGCGUGGAUUAGGCAUGCAAGUCGAACGGGAUCCUAGGAAAUUGGCGCUUCGGUUGAUUUUUCCUUGGUGAGAGUGGCGAACGGGUGAGGAACACGUGGGCAAUUUGCCCUUUAGUUCGGGAUAGCGCCGGGAAACCGGCAUUAAUACCGAAUGUGGUCGGGCUCCGCAUGGAGCCUUGUCUAAAGGUGGGGAUCUUCGGACCUACUGCUAAAGGAUGAGCCCGCGUCCCAUCAGCUUGUUGGUAGGGUAACGGCCUACCAAGGCUACGACGGGUAGCUGGUCUGAGAGGAUGAUCAGCCACACUGGGACUGAGACACUGCCCAGACUCCUACGGGAGGCUGCAGUCGAGAAUCAUUCGCAAUGCACGAAAGUGUGACGAUGCGACGCCGCGUGUAGGAUGAAGGCCUUCGGGUUGUAAACUACUGUCAGAAGGGAAAAAGUGUUCAGUCAUUAAUAAUGGCUGGGCUUGAUGGUACCUUCAGAGGAAGCCACGGCUAACUCUGUGCCAGCAGCCGCGGUAAUACAGAGGUGGCGAGCGUUGUUCGGAUUUACUGGGCGUAAAGGGUGCGUAGGCGGCACUGUAUGUCGAAUGUGAAAGCUCACGGCUUAACCGUGGAACUGCAUCCGAAACUACAGAGCUAGAGUAUGGGAGAGGUGAGCGGAAUUCUUGGUGUAGCGGUGAAAUGCGUAGAUAUCAAGAGGAACACCGGCGGCGAAAGCGGCUCACUGGACCAAUACUGACGCUGAGGCACGAAAGCUAGGGUAGCCAAGAGGAUUAGAUACCCUCGUAGUCCUAGCCGUAAACGUUGUGAACUUGGUGUUGGGGGGUUGUCCCCCUCAGUGCCGAAGCUAACGCAUUAAGUUCACCGCCUGGGGAGUACGGUCGCAAGGCUAAAACUCAAAGGAAUUGACGGGGGCCCGCACAAGCGGUGGAGCAUGUGGCUUAAUUCGAUGCAACGCGAAGAACCUUACCUAGGCUUGACAUGCCCGUCGUAUCCCUUGGAAACUUGGGAGUCAGCUCGGCUGGACGGUGCACAGGUGCUGCAUGGCUGUCGUCAGCUCGUGCCGUGAGGUGUUGGGUUAAGUCCCGCAACGAGCGCAACCCUUGUGUUUAGUUGCCACUCCUUCAGAAAUGGGGGAAGCACUCUAGACAGACUGCCGGUGACAAGCCGGAGGAAGGUGGGGAUGACGUCAAGUCAGUAUGGUCCUUAUGCCUAGGGCUGCACACGUGCUACAAUGGUCGGCACAGAGGGAAGCAAUACCGCGAGGUGGAGCAAAUCCCCAAAACCGGCCUCAGUUCGGAUUGGAGUCUGCAACUCGACUCCAUGAAGUUGGAAUCGCUAGUAAAGGCGUAUCAGCUACGACGCCUUGAAUACGUUCCCGGGCCUUGUACACACCGCCCGUCACAUCAUGAAAGCCGGCUGUACCCGAAGUCGCUGAUCCAACCCGCAAGGGAGGAAGGUGCCGAAGGUGUGGCUGGUAAUUGGGAUGAAGUCGUAACAAGGUAACC
rnacentral:rRNA from 1 species